rnacentral:lncRNA from 1 species
UCUUAUACUCCACGAAACAACCUUCAAGCAGCAACGCGCCGCCGGACGCGCCCCCGCAGAGACUUUGUAGUAUGCGAGCAGCUUGCGCGACGCAUCUAGCGCAAUCAUCGGAACGUGUGGAGAGGUCGCUGCGGCAGUGGUGCAUCCCGUGGACGGUUUUGCCGUAGGUUCCGACAGUGAAAUGGUCGUAUGUAAAGAUAUUAGCUGAGUUUACGAGGGAGGUGAGUAGCGAGUUGACAUUUGAGUCGUAAGAUGAUCCGGGAAGGUACUUGGAGCAAAAAGACGAUCCUCGAAAGUAGUUUGGUUGCGUACAAUGGUGGUAGUAAAGAAAAGUAUUGUCGGAAGGAGAUGAGAAGUUUCUGAUAAGAGAUGCGGCUGCGAUGACGACGGAGAUGGCAAUAAUUGUGUUUAUCGGUGACAUGACGUUCUCUUUCGCUAAUGUGCUGCUUUCGAGUGUUUUAGAAAAUAUUUAAGUAAUUAUGAGAUAAUGGCAAGCAACUCGUUAUUCUUUGGUGGCUUUUCUAUAUAAGUAAAUAAAUAAUUUUCAGAAAAUUAUUAAAUUACAUGACAUCUCACCAACUUACACGAUUAUGAAAGUGUUUCAACUACAAAAGUAGUCAUCGGAACUAAAAAAAUAAUAAUCAAAUUAAAAUAUCAAGUUUCUGAUUUAAUAAAAGGUUAGAGAGGUGAUGCUAAUGGAGGAAGGAUCGAAAUGGAGAUGGAUAUUGUUCUACCAAAAGUACAACAACGUUAUGAAUGCAACUUAAAAAACUAUAAUAAUUACUUUAAAUGAAAAUUGAGAGAAGUAGUAUUACAUCACUUACAAAAUUGACAUAAAUGUUAAUAUCAUUUCAUAGAAUUGAUAUAUAUUGAUAUCAUUUAAAUAAUUGAUGCAAAUAGUUGUCAUUUUUGCAUCAAUUAUUAACAAAAUGAUGCAAAUUAUUUGUAUCAUCACUUUCAGAGUCAUUUAAAUAAGUGAUGCAAAUUUAUUUUACAUCAUUUAACACUGAUGCAAAUAUUUAAAAUAACUGAUGUUAAACAAUCAUUUUUUUUAGUGUGAGUAUAUAAAUAAAUGGGCUGUUUAAAAGUUAAAGAAUUAAUGCUUUUGAAAUUAUUAGAGGGUUAAAGUGUGCUGGGAGAAAAUUAAACUUUAAAAUAAAUUAAAACCACAACAGCUUUAAAAGAUUAAACUCUAAUCAUGGUUUUUAGUUUGGCAAUAGGACAACAAUAAAAGCUGUGAAUUACAUUCAACUCCUCUUGUUGUAGACUUGUAGUAUGUCAUAUGGAAGAGUUCCCUUUGGAGAUUUGGAAAUAGACAAGUAUAAACAUUCUUUUAUAAAUAAUUUAGGAUGGUUAGUUUAGUUUUUCUUUCAAAACUUAAAAUAUUUACAAAACUGGUCUUUUAAAAAUAAAUUAGAAAGUGAUAUCAAAUUUGUGAAAAAAUUUCCAAAUUUUAAUUUAAAUAUUUAACGUUAUGAAUUAUCUAAUCUUUCUUCAAAUAGCCAUGUUCGCAUUGUAAAGAUCUUAUUCGACAUAAGCUUUCAUAACAUCAAAGCCGAGAUCAUUCACACGGUUGCUCAUAAUACGAAUAUGCAAAAAAAAAAAUAGCAUAUCUUAACUUAAUAUGGAUAGGAUGUAUAAGUUAUUUUCUUAAUUAUCCAUUUGAUCCAAACUUUUCUAUAUAAACUCACAUAUUAACUAAUUAAAACAGCUCAAAGAUAAAUCACUAGUUGAAAUAAAAUUUUGAGAAUAAUAGUAAGAAUUUUUCGUCAAUUCUGCUCAGUUUUAUAUUCACGAGAGAAAAAGAUCAUACACUAUUUUUAACAUAACAAUAGCAAAAAAAUACAAAACGUAGGUCAAUAGUGAUUUAAGUUUAGAUAGUACAUAUGAUGUCUUCUGAUAAAAGAGGUUCCUUUGGGUGGCCACGUGCUUAGCCCGUAUCCCUUUCUUAAACUCUACAUUGAAAAAACAUUUAUCAUAUAUAAAUCUUUUAACUAAAUUAUAUAUUAGAAGAAACUCAUGCAUAAGAGAGAAUGUUGAAUAAGUUAGACUGUGGUUACCAUUUUUAGACAAAAUAUUACAUGUGAAAAAAAAUUUAUACUUUCACAUGUAAAUUUUUUUUACCAAUCAAAGAUAUUUUAAUUCAUUUUUAUUUACUUUAGUAACUUUAGUCACUGUGAUUCCCCCAUUUUCUCUCUUUCACUCCCACCUUUUAUGCUUCUUCCUUUUUUAUAGAAAUUACCAGCACAGGCUCACAGCUUUAUAAUCAUUCUAUGACUUUCUCUUAUUAUUUCCAAAAUUAAUAUUCGACCUUUAAAAAAGAAACCAAACAGAGAAGGCUUUAUAGUUACCUUGGCCGAUGGAUCCACUUGACGAGUAACCAACGUAGCACUUGGCUAAGUAAACGUCACUCCAAGUGCUUGUUCCGCAAAACGGUUGAAGUUUCAGCCGUUGGAUCGCUUCCAUCAAACAGUCUUGACAAUCCGUUGCACUGAGAUCUCCGGUGCACUGCGCUACAGCUUGCGCUUUCCCUGACCUCUCCACUCUGUAGGACGUACCACUACUUGCAACCACGUCCACCAACACCUUAGCCUGAGUCAACUCGUCCGACUUAUACUUAUACCCAGCCGGUUUUCCGCAACUCAUAACCAUAGCCGUCGUAUCCGCCACUCCAAAGAACAUAACGUUAUCGUACUUCACUAAGCAGCCUUCGAGCUGUAAAGCGCAGCCGCUCUCACCAAAGCUGUCACUUCGGAGCAGGCUAACAGCUUGCGUGACACAACUAACGCACUCACUGGAGGAGAGAUCACCCCGGCACUGGUGUAGUCCGUAGUUUCCGUUGACGGUGAGGUUGUUGUAUGUGUAGAUAGAAGCUGAGUUUACGAACAUGUUGAGUAGCGAGUCGACAUUUGACCUGGAAGACGAUCCUGGAAAGUACUUUGGUGGAGAGCAGUAGUGGUAGUAGACUAACGGCUCUACGGUGGGAAAUGCAAAAUUUGUGAGAAGAUAUACGGCUGCGAUGACGACGGAGAUCGAGAUAAUUGCUAUUGUCGCUGACAUGAUCACUUUCGCCGAUGUGUUGCCUUUUGGCCUUUGGGUGUAUAUGUCUGUAUCACAAAAUAUGAGCAUGCAUGCAUGAGAAAGGGGCAGGCAAUUCUAUAUGCUCAGUGCGUUGAGACAUAUAUCCUUAGUGAAGUCUUUGCAAUACGUUAUUCGGUUACAUAAAAUAUAUGAAAAAUUGAUAAAGUGGCAGGCAUCUCUUUAUGUUCGGUGCGUUAAUAUAUGCAUAUACAUAUAUCAUUAUGAAGCAUUUGCAAUACGUUAUUAGGUUAUAAUAUAUAAAAUAUUCUUAGCAUUCGUACCAGAAAAGGUUAUACAAAUAUAUGAAAACAUGAUAAAGUGGCAGGCAUCUCUUUAUGCUCGGUGAAUUAAUAUAUGCAUUAGACAUUUAUCAUUAUGAAGCAUUUGCAUAACUUUAUAUGGCUAUAUAAAAUAUAACAUUCGUACCAAGGAAAGGUUAUAAAAACAUAUGAAAACUUGAUAAAAGUGGCAGGCAUCUCUUUAUGCUCAGUGUGUAUAAUAUAUGUCAAUGAAAGAAACAUUAGCAAUCGAUUAUUAAUUCAUAAAAUAUAUGAAACACAUAAAUACAUCAUUAUAUAACUGGUAGGCAGCUCCUUAUGCUCGGUAUAUCAUUAUGAAAACAUUCGCAACAGAGUUUUAGAUUGUAUAAAAUAUAUGGAAACUGCUUAAUUAAUCUAACUAGUUGGUAACUAUCCCUCCAUGAGAAAUUUCAAAAAAACAAACUAUCCAUCCAUGAGGGGUUUUCUAUAUAAAUUAAUAUAUUACAAAAUCUCACCAUAACAUUAGUUUUAAACACACUGAAAAUUAAUAUUUCCUCUAUUUCUGAAAGAUUAAAAUUUAAAAAAAAAUAUUUUAAAUAAGAUAUAUGUUUAAAGUUCGUAUAUAAUUUUUUUAAUUAAUAAUAUUAAAUUAUAAAUUUUGAAAAUGCUGAUUUUAAUUACUGAAAUACCAUUAUAUUUAAAUAAUUAGACAUAAAUAACCAUAAAUUUAUGCAUUUAUAAUAUUAAUAUAUUGUUUCAAUAUGUGAAACGCCAAAAAAAACGAUACAACUUUUUAAAAAGAGGGAGUAUAACUUUGUUGAUAAUAUUCAAUAUUUACUUCAUUAGGUCUAUAAUAACAAAUGUCAAACAUCUGGAGUAUCAAACAAGUAUGCAUGACUUUCAACAACUUGCACGAUUUUAGAACUGUUAUAAUACUAUAUCAUGAGGAAUCGAAAUAAUUUAGUAACAAUAAAGAUCAACUUGCUGAAGUAAAAAGGUUUAACAGGUGGGUGACUAAUGGAGGAAGAAUCAUUUCUGAAGAUGGACAUUGUUUGACCAAAAUUACAGGAACAAAGUUGUGAUUGCAUUAACUUGAUUUGGUAAUUUUGUAGUAUGCGAGCAGCUUGCGCGACGCAUCUAGCGCAAUCAUCGGAACGUGUGGAGAGGUCGCUGCGGCAGUGGUGCAUCCCGUGGACGGUUUUGCCGUAGGUUCCGACAGUGAAAUGGUUGUAUGUAAAGACAUUAGCUGAGUUUACGAUUGAUGCAGCAGCAUCCGAGUAGCUUCAACGUCAAGUUUCCUUUUCAAGUUAUUUCCUUUUUACUUAGGGUUUAUGUUUUGCCUUUUCUAUUAGGUUAAGGAUUUUAAUGACGGUUUAAGAGUUCUAUAUAAAGAACUCUCUUAUGACUUUUGUAAGAUACGCUUUGGAUAAUUAAUAAACUAGCUUUGAGCUUUAUACCUUGAUAGAGAUUUGAUUCAAUUCAUCUUGUUCGAGAAGCCUUGGAAGAGAUUCGAUUAAAUUCAUCUUCUUCAAGAAGCAGGUCUCUAGAGUUUUCAAUCGAAAACCCUAGAUUGAGCUGAUAUCUUGUUCGUACCCUCCAUCAGGUUGGUAUCAGAGCAAAACAACUAUCACACCAUCAUGCCUCGCACGCGCCAGGAAACGAAAGCAGAAAUUCAAGAACCUAAUAUGGCACAGAUGCAGGAGCAACUUGCCCAGCUUACUCAAGCGAUGCAAGCCCUAGUCGCUCAACGCAAAACUGAUCCAGCCAUCGCACACGAAGAAGACAGGAACUACGAAAGCAAGUUGAAGAACUAAUUACUCGAGGUUUCUUACGGGAGAGCAUGAGUCCUUGCGCCGUUCCAGCCCUAUUAGUUCCAAAGAAGGAUGGUUCGUGGCGUAUGUGUGUGGAUAGUCGUGCGGUGAAUAAAAUAACCGUUCGAUAUCGUUUCCCAAUUCCUCGCCUAGAUGACCUUCUUGAUCAAAUCGGGACAGCAAGGAUAUUCUCUAAGCUGGAUUUAAAAAGCGGUUACCACCAGAUUCGUAUUCGUGAAGGAGAUGAAUGGAAAACAGCUUUCAAAACCCGUGAAGGACUUUUUGAGUGGACGGUAAUGCCGUUUGGCUUAUCUAACGCACCAAGCACGUUUAUGAGAGUGAUGAAUCAGGCUCUUCGUCCCUUCAUUGGCAAAUUCGUCGUUGUUUACUUCGAUGAUAUCUUAAUCUUCAGCCUCACCAUGGAGGAUCAUAUGAUACACCUGCGGGAAGUCCUCCUUGUUCUUCGACGAGAUAAACUUUUUGCAACACUAAAAAAAUGUGCUUUCGGUUCUGCACACGUCCACUUCUUGGGAUACAUUGUUUCAGAGAAGGGCCUUUCCGUCGACCCUGCAAAAGUAUCCGCCAUCAAGACAUGGCCAGAACCACAUACUAUCACCGAAGCACGGAGCUUUCAUGGGCUUGCAUCUUUUUAUCGACGUUUUGUUCCUCAGUUUAGUGCUAUCAUGGCACCUUUGACUAACUGUAUUCGCGAGGGAGCUUUUUUAUGGACACCGGCUGCUACUACUGCUUUCAACAUCAUCAAAGACAAACUUAGUUCAGCACCUAUCUUGGCUUUACCAGACUUUACGACGGUAUUUGAACUCCACUGCGACGCGUCUAAAAGUGGGAUUGGCGCUGUCCUUAGCCAACGAAACCGGCCGAUCGCAUUCUUUAGCGAGAAGAUAUCUGGUGCGCGUUUUCGUUAUAGUACGUACGACAUCGAGUUCUAUGCUAUUGUGCAAGCAAUCAAGCACUGGAGGCAUUACUUGUUCCACAAGGAAUUUGUACUUUACACUGAUCAUGACGCCCUAAAGCAUCUUAGCACUCAAGAUAAAGUAUCUGCUCGACAUGCCUCUUGGAUCGCCUAUCUACAACAGUUUACAUUCGUGAUCAAGCACACCUCGGGAACUAGCAACCGCGUAGCUGACGCCCUGAGUCGUCGACACUCUCUCCUCUCCGUCCUUCAUGUCUCGGUCCCUGGAUUUAGUUCGUUUAUGGACCUAUACCCGACCGAUAAGUUUUUUGGCCCAAUUUGGACUGCCGUUUCUGCUGGUCCAUCCUUACCGUACUCGAUCCAUGAUGGUUUCUUAUUCCGGGAAAACCGUCUUUGUGUUCCUGAUUGUAGUCUUCGGUUGCGACUUAUUUCCGAGCUGCAUAAUGAAGGUCACAUCGGACGAGAUCGAACCAUUCACCUUGUUUCUGCGUCGUAUUUCUGGCCGGCGCUGCGAAGAGACGUGGAACGUUUUGUGGAGCGUUGUGUUACUUGUCAAACGUCCAAAGGUCAAGCUUCCAAUGCUGGUUUGUACCUUCCUUUACCAAUACCAACUCAACCGUGGACAGAUAUUAGUAUGGAUUUUGUCAUGGGAUUGCCUCGGACUCAAAAAGGGUUCGAUUCAAUUUUUGUCGUGGUAGAUCGGUUUUCAAAAAUGGUUCACUUUAUACCCUGCAAACGUACAACUGAUGCAGUUGAAGUCGCCACUUUGUUCUUCCGAGAGGUGUACCGGCUUCAUGGAUUACCAUUGUCGAUUGUCUCCGACAGAGAUUCUCGCUUUCUUAGUCACUUUUGGCGCUCAUUAUGGAAGCUCUUCGAUACAAGUCUUGAUAUGAGUUCUGCGUAUCAUCCUCAAACUGACGGCCAAACAGAGGUCACGAAUCGUUCUCUUGGUAACUUACUACGCAGCUUGGUCGGAUCAUCCAUCAAGUCAUGGGAUUCAAAGCUUCCCCAGGCUGAGUUUGCCCAUAACCACGCCGUUAACCGAAGCUCGAAGUUCAGUCCGUUUCAGAUCAUUUAUGGAAUCGUUCCUCGUGCUCCGCUAGACCUCUCCACUUUGCCCGAUCGUGUUCGUCUUCACGGUGGAGCUGAAGCAUUUAUGGAGAACGUGCUCGAGACACACGAGCAAACUACAUCCAACUUAGAGACAUCGACUCAAAAAUAUAAAGCUGCGGCAGACACCCAUAGACGGCGUCUCGUCUUUGAGGUCGGUGAUUUGGUCUGGGCAGUUCUUACUAGAGAUCGUAUGCCUGCACACUCGUAUAACAAGUUAAAAGCAAAGAAGAUUGGUCCUUUGGAGGUUCUUGAGCGUAUCAAUGACAAUGCUUAUCGUCUCCAACUCCCCGCUGAUAUAACUACUUCUGAUGUUUUUAAUGUCAAGUAUCUCUCUCGCUAUUUUCCUCCCGAGCAGCCCUCUGAUUCGCGGUCGAAUCCUCUUCACCCCGGGGGACCUGAUGCAGCAGCAUCCGAGUAGCUUCAACGUCAAGUUUCCUUUUCAAGUUAUUUCCUUUUUACUUAGGGUUUAUGUUUUGCCUUUUCUAUUAGGUUAAGGAUUUUAAUGACGGUUUAAGAGUUCUAUAUAAAGAACUCUCUUAUGACUUUUGUAAGAUACGCUUUUGAUAAUUAAUAAACUAGCUUUGAGCUUUAUACCUUGAUAGAGAUUUGAUUCAAUUCAUCUUGUUCGAGAAGCCUUGGAAGAGAUUCGAUUAAAUUCAUCUUCUUCAAGAAGCAGGUCUCUAGAGUUUUCAAUCGAAAACCCUAGAUUGAGCUGAUAUCUUGUUCGUACCCUCCAUCAACGAUCGAGAGGUGAGUAGCGUGUUGACAUUUGAGUCGUAAGAUGAUCCGGGAAGGUACUUGGAGAAAAAAGACGAUCCUCGAAAGUAGUUUGGUUGCGUACAAUGGUGGUAGUAAAGAAAAG